rnacentral:misc_RNA from 1 species
GAAAUGCGAUAAGUAAUGUGAAUUGCAGAAUUCAGUGAAUCAUCGAAUCUUUGAACGCACCUUGCGCCCCUUGGUAUUCCUUGGAGCAUGCCUGUUUGAGUAUCAUGAAAUCUUCAAAGUAAAUCUUUUGUUAACUCAAUUGGUUUCUACUUUGGUAUUGGAGGUCUUUGCAGCUUCACACCUGCUCCUCUUUGUUCAUUAGCUGGAUCUCAGUGUUAUGCUUGGUUCCACUCGGCGUGAUAAGUUAUCUAUCGCUGAGGACACUGUAAAGGGUGGCCAAGGUAAAUGCAGAUGAACCGCUUCUAAUAGUCCAUUGACUUGGACAAUACUUUUAUGAUCUGAUCUCAAAUCAGGUAGGACUACCCGCUGAACUUAAGC